GAUAAAGGAGCUGUCACUGCCAGAGUCGGGGUUGGCGAGGGAGGUAUCGUCGUGGUCUAGCUCAUGGGCGGCGCGACUGUGGAGAGGUGGAAAAGCCGGAAGGCAUCGGGGCUUGCAGCCGGGGAUCUGGCGAGAUGAUGGGCGCGAGUUGCGAGGUGGUCUGACGCAGCAGCGGCAAAACUCUGCCAUGGCGGUGACGGGGCACCUUGGCGCGGCCGGCGAGGAUGCGAGCGAGAUGAGGCAAAGCA
rnacentral:lncRNA from 1 species